rnacentral:rRNA from 1 species
GACGAACGCUGGCGGCGUGCUUAACACAUGCAAGUCGAGCGGUAAGGCCCUUUCGGGGGUACACGAGCGGCGAACGGGUGAGUAACACGUGGGUGACCUGCCCUCAGCUCUGGGAUAAGCCUGGGAAACCGGGUCUAAUACUGGAUAUGACUCCAUGACGCAUGUUGUGGGGUGGAAAGCCUUGUGCGGCUGAGGAUGGGCCCGCGGCCUAUCAGCUUGUUGGUGGGGUGANGGCCUACCAAGGCGACGACGGGUAGCCGGCCUGAGAGGGCGACCGGUCACACUGGGACUGAGACACGGCCCAGACUCCUACGGGAGGCAGCAGUGGGGAAUCUUGCGCAAUGGGCGAAAGCCUGACGCAGCGACGCCGCGUGAGGGAUGACGGCCUGGU